rnacentral:rRNA from 1 species
AACGAACGCUGGCGGCAUGCCUAACACAUGCAAGUCGAACGGGAUCCAGGCUUCGGCCUGGUGAGAGUGGCGGACGGGUGAGUAACACGUGGGAACCUGCCUUUUGGUUCGGGAUAACCGCGGGAAACUGCGGCUAAUACCGGAUGCUCCCGAGAGGGGAAAGAUUUAUCGCCAGAAGAGGGGCCCGCGUCCGAUUAGGUAGUUGGUGAGGUAAUGGCUCACCAAGCCGACGAUCGGUAGCUGGUCUGAGAGGAUGAUCAGCCACACUGGGACUGAGAUACGGCCCAGACUCCUACGGGAGGCAGCAGUGGGGGAAUAUUGGACAAUGGGGGCAACCCUGAUCCAGCAAUGCCGCGUGAGUGAUGAAGGCCUUAGGGUUGUAAAGCUCUUUUGCCAGGGAGAUGAUGACUGUACCUGGAGAAUAAGCCCCGGCUAACUUCGUGCCAGCAGCCGCGGUAAU